rnacentral:rRNA from 1 species
UACGAAGGGGGCUAGCGUUGCUCGGAAUCACUGGGCGUAAAGGGUGCGUAGGCGGGUCUUUAAGUCAGGGGUGAAAUCCUGGAGCUCAACUCCAGAACUGCCUUUGAUACUGAAGAUCUUGAGUUCGGGAGAGGUGAGUGGAACUGCGAGUGUAGAGGUGAAAUUCGUAGAUAUCAGGAGGAACACCAGUGGCGAAGGCGGCUUUCUGGACUGGUCCUGACGCUCAGGAGCGAAAGCGUGGGGAGCGAUCCGG